rnacentral:rRNA from 1 species
AGAUUGAACGCUGGCGGCAUGCCUUACACAUGCAAGUCGAACGGCAGCACGGGAGCAAUCCUGGUGGCGAGUGGCGAACGGGUGAGUAAUAUAUCGGAACGUGCCCAGUCGUGGGGGAUAACGCAGUGAAAGCUGUGCUAAUACCGCAUACGAUCUAUGGAUGAAAGCGGGGGACUCGCAAGAGCCUCGCGCGAUUGGAGCGGCCGAUAUCAGAUUAGCUAGUUGGUGGGGUAAAAGCCCACCAAGGCGACGAUCUGUAGCUGGUCUGAGAGGACGACCAGCCACACUGGAACUGAGACACGGUCCAGACUCCUACGGGAGGCAGCAGUGGGGAAUUUUGGACAAGUGGGCGCAAGCCUGAUCCAGCAAUGCCGCGUGCAGGAUGAAGGCCUUCGGUGUAACUGUCUUUGUACGGAACGAAAGUCCUUUACUAAUACAAGGACCAGUGACGUACGUAAGAAUAACGACACCGACUAACUACGUAGACCG